AACUCAUUUACGGACAACAGCGCACGUUCAACCUAGCUAAAUAUUGGGCGAAAAACCUUGGCGCCUCACACGCUCUGAAAUUUUCGAACCCGCCCCCGGAUCGUCGGCGCGUCCUCAUCAUCUCUCUUGAGGCUUCCAAAAGAGUUCGAUUCUCGACUGCUCUCCGAAGCCACCGCCGCUGCCGAGGUUUUCAUCACCGACAGAGGGCUUGAAGACCAGGGAUCGAUGGACUGAGCAAAUGUAGUCCAUCGUUUUCUGUAAUAUUCGACGAAAAACCUUGGCGCUUCACAGAUGCCUCUGAAAUUUUCUCAGUCGUUGUGCAAACUAGUUUGGAUGGAUCUGCUGUGAUUCUAGGGUUUUGUUUUUUUCAGGUUUUCAGGUCUCAAGAUUACAGUGAUGUCCUGUACUGCCUUAAGCAUCUAUUCCAGGGAGGAAAAGAACCUCCAAAGGUGUUGGACGUACUUAGAGGAACCAAGCAAAAGAGACACCAUGAUGGAAUCUGAACGAAUUGACGGUCUGUGGGAAGAGAUACGGGAAGGCUUAGAGAGUGUUGAGAAGGACAUGGGUGCAUUCCUUGGUGACCCUUCCAAGCCUCUUCUCCUUUCUGUUCGAUCUGGUGCUGCAGUAAGUUCCUUUUCUGUUCAAUGGUGCAUCAAAGGUACAAAGCAAGACGAAAUAUUUCAGUCAAUUCUGACGGGUUUCUUUUUUCCAUCAUGGCUCAAAGCAAGAUGAAAUAAUCUUCACAUCUUACAGUAGAUAAGAAACUUGUUAUAUCUACAAUGACUUAAUUUUUUGCUAUAAUCACUCAGAAAGUACUCAACUUGAGCCAAUGGAAGAUGAAAGUAUGAGACCAUUACUAUAGAAGUGUAACUACCUUUGGCUUAUUUCUUUUUUUGGUUCAAUGCAUAUAGUACCUCUGUUUCCAUUCUAUCGCCUAUACCUCAGGCUACACUGCAUAUACCGGAAGUUUGUCAUGGUUAUUGCAGUGCUUAAUCAUUCGGCUGGAAUGUCAGGGUUUUGUUAACUCCGAUUGGGAAGGCAUCGACAGGCUUACCACUCCAUGUCAAUUUCUGAUUUGAAUGAACACCUAAAUUUAUGUGUAACAGUGUAGUCCCCAUAAUUACUCGUUGUUGCAUUUUUUUAGUUUAUGAGUCUAAUCACGGGAACACCAUAGUGGCUGGCUUGAUUCGUGGUCCAUGUGUAGUCCUUCCUCCAAGCAAGUUUAAUGAAGAAAGUGAGAGGAGAUCCCGCUUGGGGCUAGGGGCAAAUGAUGGAUUACAGCCACUUUUCCAGUACAAGUAUGUUUAAUUGUUUCUCACAUCUAUUCCUUGUCUUCUAUUGCUGCCUGCAAGUUGCUUCUCUAUAAAAGUUGGAUGGCUUCAAGAAACCUCUUGUCAAUGUUCAUGGGUUUAUUGUCUCAUUGCUUUACUUUACUUUCUGUAGUGAUUUUAUUUGCUUCAAUGGGGUAUCUUCAGUGCUCAUAAUGAAGCAUCACAAUUCUGAAGCUAUUCAUGCUUCAGAGUAUGAAUCAUUGAAUCUAGAUGCCAAUAAUGUGACAUGAACCACCUGUUUUCAUGAUUCACUAUUUCCGCUGCGUAUAUGACAAUAUUUCUUAUGUUAAAGCUUCUUUUUUUCCAUGCUUUCAGUCUAGUGGAGAUGAAUUAUCGGAUUGUGGGUGUAAUUUAUUGGAGAACGAUCUUAUUUUGCAGAUGGUUUUUUGAUGAAUCAAAAGGCGUAUUCAGAGAUGUGUCGAGUUAGUUGCAGUCAAGAGUAAUUUUUUUGUGCUAGUCUUAUUCAGGGCUCUAGUGCACAAAGUUGAUGGAUCUUCUUCUGAUCAGGUAUGUGUUCGCCGUUGGGAGCAAAAGGGCAUAAACUCUGCAAAAAAGUAAGCUUCAAAUAAAGAACAUCUCCGUGCGCGAAGAAUUGGGGUACUUGAAUGAGAUGGCUGCCUAGUUUAGGAUUACAUUUUCUGGAAAGAGAGAUUACAUCAGUGUUUUUUUUAUGAGUGUAAUUAGUCUGACUCUUAAAUGUAGUUUGUGCUGGAAAAUUAUUCUUCAAGCUAUUGUAAUGAAUCUUCGGUUGAAUUAUUUAUCUUACAUUGAAAUUGUAU